rnacentral:rRNA from 1 species
ACUCCUACGGGAGGCAGCAGUGGGGAAUUUUGCGCAAUGGGCGAAAGCCUGACGCAGCAACGCCGCGUGAGUGAUGAAGGCUUUCGGGUCGUAAAGCUCUGUCGAGGGGUAAGAAAUGUAUUGUGGUUAAUACCUGCGAUACUUGACGGUACCCCUAAAGGAAGCACCGGCUAACUCCGUGCCAGCAGCCGCGGUAAUACGGGGGGUGCAAGCGUUGUUCGGAAUUAUUGGGCGUAAAGCGCGUGUAGGCGGUUUGUUAAGUCUGAUGUGAAAGCCCUGGGCUCAACCCAGGAAGUGCAUUGGAUACUGGCAGACUUGAAUACGGGAGAGGGUAGUGGAAUUCCUGGUGUAGGAGUGAAAUCCGUAGAUAUCAGGAGGAACACCGGUGGCGAAGGCGGCUACCUGGACCGAUAUUGACGCUGAGACGCGAAAGCGUGGGUAGCAAACAGGAUUAGAUACCCUGGUAGUCCACGCCGUAAACGAUGAGAACUAGGUGUUGCGGGUAUUGACCCCUGCAGUGCCGCAGCUAACGCAUUAAGUUCUCCGCCUGGGAAGUACGGUCGCAAGACUAAAACUCAAAUGAAUUGACGG